GGAGAAAGUUGAAUUUAAGUGCAAAGUAGGAAGCUGACCAACAGUCUAUAUCCUAGGUUUAGUAAUGCUGAGUUCAGUGUGAAUCUUGUCACAUGCAAAACAGGAAUAUUCUUGCUUGCAUAACUUGUUUCAAGAAAAUGAAGAACUCUUUGUGAUUGAUGAUGAUUCUGCUUCCUUAGGAAUGUUUAGAAGAAAUCCCCUUCCACCCCUGCCCCCGGUGCCAAACUUGGAAGAAUGACUUCAUGGAUGGAAAAACUUUGUGGAGCUUCUGGGCAGCAUGAGAGCAUCAGUGUGACCAUACUGAAUUUACAUAACUCC
ensembl:lincRNA